rnacentral:rRNA from 1 species
UGGGGAAUAUUGGACAAUGGGCGAAAGCCUGAUCCAGCCAUGCCGCGUGUGUGAAGAAGGUCUUCGGAUUGUAAAGCACUUUAAGUUGGGAGGAAGGGCAGUAAGCGAAUACCUUGCUGUUUUGACGUUACCGACAGAAUAAGCACCGGCUAACUCUGUGCCAGCAGCCGCGGUAAUACAGAGGGUGCAAGCGUUAAUCGGAAUUACUGGGCGUAAAGCGCGCGUAGGUGGUUCGUUAAGUUGAAUGUGAAAGCCCCGGGCUCAACCUGGGAACUGCAUCCAAAACUGGCGAGCUAGAGUAGGGCAGAGGGUGGUGGAAUUUCCUGUGUGGCGGUGAAAUGCGUAGAUAUAGGAAGGAACACCAGUGGCGAAGGCGACCACCUGGGCUCAUACUGACACUGAGGUGCGAAAGCGUGGGGAGCAAACAGG